CCUGGUGACUCGAGCGGAGGGGCAACACCCGUUCCCAUUCCGAACACGGAAGUUAAGCCCUCCAGCGCCGAUGGUACUGCCCCAUGAGGGGUGGGAGAGUAGGCCGUCGCCAGGC
rfam:Spirochaeta thermophila DSM 6578, complete genome.